GUUCUAGGGUAUGUUUUCAGAUCAGUUUAAAUUAAGCCAAAAAUCACAAACCAUUCAUAUCUAGUCUAAUGUUAAAAUAAUUGCUCAGUGGAGUUCCAGGGCUAUCAAGAAGAGAUGACACUAUGUGAAAAAUAUGAAAAUAAUGUGUGUUUUUGUGUAGUUCACCUAAAAAAUUGUUUUGUUGUUUUAUAUAAUGACCUUUUUUUAAGAUUUCUGUAAAUAUCCUGACAAGGGCAGUGUUUUAGAAAUGUCUUUAACUUAGACAUCAUAUUCCUCAUUGGAAAGACACUUGCCAGCAAGGCUACACGACAGUACAUUUUUAGAGCCACCUAUAACUACAUGGGCCAUUAGAGGUAAAAGCAGAAAUGGGAUAUAUGACCUUUAGUACUGGAGAAUUGACUGUAAAUAUCACUUGUUCCAUCCAGGCGACGCUGGUAUCCAGAGAGGGUUCUGUGUGAAAAGAGAUUCCAUGAGACAAAUGGAAGAACAAGGAGAGGCGAAAGGAACAAUAGAGGUCUUUCAGAAGCAGGUCAACAAACAUUGAUGCAGCAUUUUCUUUGUGCGUGUUGAAGAGUAACAAUGAGCCUCAGAACUUCUAAUAAGCAGCAUAAUUGCCAUGUGGAGAAGGCUACAUUAUACAACACCAAUUUCUCUCUGAAGAUCCACCACCUCCGGAUGAAUGUUACUGAUUCCUACUGUCUAUUUCAUAGAUCUUCAACUCUUGUUCUUUUGUUUAAAGAUAUGAGUCUAAGCUUAGACAUAUAUGAUGCUUUCAAUUCAAAAAUGUUGUUUAGAAAAGGCGCUCAUUUAAAGAAUUUGCUGAAAGCUAAAGGAUAACCAAAGCAAAAGGCACACACAGGGUAACAUAAAUCUAGAAUAUAUGUUUUGCCAUAUGUAUUUUUCUCAUUUCCAAUCUAUUGUUAAAUACAUGGCAUCCUCCUACCACACCCUUACUUCCACUAGGCAGAGCAUCCAUUUAUUCUCUACCAUGCACAAGUCUUUGGCUUCAAAGUCAUAGGUUUCCAUGGUUACAGUUCUUCAUUGGUGUUCUUAUUUUCCUCAGGUAACUGAUAUUAAACUGGACUUCCCUCUCUUGCUCAAACCUCUGAGGUCCUCAUAGGCUAGAUUAUCAUCAAUAUAAUAUGACAACCUUAAGAUUCAUAUUAAACACAAACACUCUUGGUAAUUGGAAGGGAGAAAGUGAGAGGGAGGAGUCUUGAAAGAGAAUAUUGUUUCAUUACCUUUUCUUUCAAUUUUUGGGUAGCUUUUAUGGUCGUAAAGUAGCCUUUGGGAAAAAAUAUUGGAGACACUUGCAGUUUUAAGGCUUUAUCAAUGUCUGGUAAUGUGAUGUGGAGAUGAUAGAGCUUAAAUGUGAUGUGUUAAGCCACUGUUUCAGCACAUUUAAGCCAUGACUAAAAAGAGAAUUAUGAAUAUACCUGUAAAAAAGGAUAGAUGAGAAAUAAAGAAGUGUUGAAGCAUUCGGAUGACUAGUGAAGGAAAUCUCUUAGUCUAAAUUGGUCUGAUAGUCUUAAAAUGUGGAAUAGAACGUGGAGAAGAGUCCAUAACUAUCGAGCCAUAAGAGUGUAAUACAUACUAGAAGGGUAUUUGGGGGCUCAGGAGGAGGUGGGGAUGGUUAGCAGGUACAAAAUAAAAUAGAGUGAAUGAAUAAGACCUACUAUUUAACAGCACCAUAGGGUGACUAUAGUCAAUAAUAACUUAAUUGUACAAUAACUUCUACAAUUUUAAAAUAACUUAAAGGAUGUAAUUGGAUUGUUUGGAAUUUGAAGGAUAAAUGCUUGAGGGGAUGAAUAACCCAUUCUCCUGAAUGUGCUUAUUUCACAUUGCAAGCCUAUAUCAAAACAUCUCAUGUACUCCAUAAAUAUAUACACCUACUAUGUACCCAUAAAAUUUAAAAAAAUGAUAACUCAUUCUGCAAUUAAUGACAACCAAAUAUGUGGACUAAGAGAGAAAUGAAGUAGCAUAGCAAGGACUCCUGGAAAUUCUUGAAAGCAAAAUGCAAAAAUCUUAACAAAUUGAAAAAGCAUCCCAAAAACAGUUACUGAAAUUAUAACACAGAGUUUAUACAAAUUUUAAUUGGUCUUUAUAUAGAAUUAUGAACAUCAUAAUUGGUGAGAAAGACAAGCAAGAUUGAAAUUUUCAUAAGCAUUUGAAUAACUCUUAAAUCUCAGACAUUGACAGCAAAUUGACUUCAGAGAUAUGACAAGAAACAGCUGGAGCUGAAGCAGCAGGGCUGAGGAGCUCCAAACAAAGAAAAAGGAUAAAAUGGAAUUACUCUCAGAGCCCUUAGGGCAAGAUCAAAGCUCCGCUUUAGUUCACUCCAUCUAAUAAUCUUAGAAUAUAACAACAUGAAAAUGUGACUUGUGACUAGGAAACUGAGAACUGUAAAUGAUGUUAAUAAAAAUACAAGCUGAUCUGUUUGGGGAGAUAAGAGGGGGGUUGUAGAUUUUAUUUUUUGGUUGUGAAAAUAGAAAUAGGGUUUAAAUAUAUUUUUGCCUUCUUCAAACAAUACUGAAGAGUGAAAGAAGAGGUAGUCUUGUAAACCAGUGGUUAAAAACCAUAGCUAUUCUAUCCUACGUCUUCACUAUCAUUCUAAGUGGAUUGUAUGAGAAAUGAGGGGGGGGAAAAAGUACUAUUUUCCAGUUAAGGCUCUCAUUUGUGUAGUCACUCACAAAGCCCUGGUCCUAUUUCCAAGUGGCCAAUGACUUUUGAAUCUUUCAUCUUUACAGUUCAGUUUGAUUUCUCCUUCAUUCAUCGAAACCACCUUACCUCAAAUAUGACCACCCUUGUUUAAAUCCCUCCUUAAGGGUAUGACAUAGCAUCACUAUAUCUGAUUUUCUUGUAAUUCUUAGAGAAAAUUAUAACUAUCACAGGCCUUUUCCCCUAAUUCUUACCCAACUCUCAAGACCUUAGGUCCAGAACUUAGAAUAUAAUCUAGUGCCUUUGCCAAAUGGUAUAGAUGUCCUUCUUCUCAUUAGUUUUUUCAAAAACAAUGGUGAAAAUCUCAAAAAAUAUGCCCCUUCAAUGAGAGGUAAUUGUUUACUUUGAAGUAAAUGGUCAUUCAUGAUACAUCUCUAAAUUACCUUCAGAACGUGUUUCUCAGAACUAAUGUUAUAUGUAGACAUGUAGGCCAGGCAUAGUAGCUCACACCUGUAAUCCCAGCACUUUGGGAUUCAGAGGCAGGUGGAUCUCCUGAGAUCACGAGUUCGAGACCAGCCUGGGUGACAUGGCGAAACCCUGUCUCUACGAAAAAUACAAAAAUUAGCCACAUGUAGUAGCCUCCCAAGUAGCCUGCUCCUGUAGUCUCAGCUACUUGGGAGGCUGAGGUAGGAGGACUGCUUGAGCCUGGGUAGUUGAGGUUGUACCACUGCACUCCAGCCUCAGUGACAAAGUGAGACCCUGUCUCAUUAAAAAAAAAAAAAAAAAAAAAAAAAGAAUCCAAAUGUAGAUAUGUAAUCAGCACCAAACUGCUGUAGCGUUGCCCUUCGAUUUCCAAUUUUCUGUGUUGUUGUGUGGACAUUUAUAAAAUUUGUUUCUGUGACUAAAGAACACAUAAAGGAUUUGCAAAAAUGGAAUGUCUUUUAUUGCACACAAUUCAUUGCUGCAAUGAUCUUUAUUUAUUUGAGAACAUGGUAACAAUAAUAAUAUAUUUCAACCAAAUGGUGGAGUGAUACAGGAAGUCUCUGUUUCAUUUUCUGGUAGAAUGAGACCACCUCAUUCUCAUCACACAGUCCAGGAUCCCUUAAGGAACAUUUUCUAGGCAGCUUUACUAGCCAACAUUCUGGUCCAAACAUGAAGUACAUGAACCUGCCUUGGGAAUAGUGGCUAUCCAGCCCCCCAGACAUUACACCAUGUGAUUUUGCGUCACCGCUGCCUUCAAUGAUUAUAAGCCAGAGGAUUUAUAUGGUCUUGUACUCUGACAUAAGCAGCACAUAUUUAUGAGAUUUUGGAAAUAACUGUGGUAACGUAUUUAAAAAUUGACUUUUGUCCCAUGUUCAUGUGUUCCUAAAUGACUUUGUUGAUGAGUAAUACAUUUUUGAAGAUACUCAAUUUUUUAUAAAUACUAUGUAUGUUAAAAUGUAAGUAUAUGCAGUGUAUGUACAAAUUGAGUUCUUAUGUGCUCAGCCCUGCACUGAGCAAAUUGACAUAUAUUAUCUCAUUUUAUUUUCAUAAAAAUACUAUGAGAAAAGGAGUCAUUGAUGCACAGAUAGAUUAAACAACUUGCCCAAAGUUACACAACUAGUUCAGAAGUCAUGAUGUUAUAUUAAAUGUAUCGGUAAAGAUAGGUGCUCGCUAGUGGGUGUUUCAGCACAAUUUCAUCACCAAGCCUUAUAACACUCAAAUUAGCAUUUGAUAUGGUUUGGAUAUUUAGCCCACCUCAGUCUCAUGCUACAAUGUAAUCAAUCCCCAAUGUUGGAGGUGGGGCCUGAUGGGAGAUGUUUGGGUCUUGUGGGUGGAUCCCUCAUGCCUGGGAGCUGUUCUCAAGAUCUCGAGAUAGUGAGUGAGUUCUCAGGAGAUCUAGUCGUUUGAAAGUGUAUAGCAUCUUCCCCUUCUCUCUUGCCUCCCUUCUGCCAUGUAAAGUGCCUGCUCCCACUUUACCUUCCACCGUGAUUAAAAGCUCCCU
rnacentral:lncRNA from 10 species